CUAACACAUGCAAGUCGAACGGUAACAGGAAGAAGCUUGCUUCUUUGCUGACGAGUGGCGGACGGGUGAGUAAUGUCUGGGAAACUGCCUGAUGGAGGGGGAUAACUACUGGAAACGGUAGCUAAUACCGCAUAACGUCGCAAGACCAAAGAGGGGGACCUUCGGGCCUCUUGCCAUCGGAUGUGCCCAGAUGGGAUUAGCUAGUAGGUGGGGUAACGGCUCACCUAGGCGACGAUCCCUAGCUGGUCUGAGAGGAUGACCAGCCACACUGGAACUGAGACACGGUCCAGACUCCUACGGGAGGCAGCAGUGGGGAAUAUUGCACAAUGGGCGCAAGCCUGAUGCAGCCAUGCCGCGUGUAUGAAGAAGGCCUUCGGGUUGUAAAGUACUUUCAGCGGGGAGGAAGGGAGUAAAGUUAAUACCUUUGCUCAUUGACGUUACCCGCAGAAGAAGCACCGGCUAACUCCGUGCCAGCAGCCGCGGUAAUACGGAGGGUGCAAGCGUUAAUCGGAAUUACUGGGCGUAAAGCGCACGCAGGCGGUUUGUUAAGUCAGAUGUGAAAUCCCCGGGCUCAACCUGGGAACUGCAUCUGAUACUGGCAAGCUUGAGUCUCGUAGAGGGGGGUAGAAUUCCAGGUGUAGCGGUGAAAUGCGUAGAGAUCUGGAGGAAUACCGGUGGCGAAGGC
rnacentral:rRNA from 1 species